CAGAACCUGUCUGUGAGAACUGGAAGGUAUCGAUCUAUUCUCCAGUUGGUAAAGCCAUGGUAUGAUGAAGUGAAGGAUUAUGCUUUUCCUUAUCCUCAGGACUGCAACCCCAGGUGCCCCAUGCGAUGCUAUGGACCCAUGUGCACCCAUUACACACAGGGGGAAUUGGAUUGGAGAGGCACCAUAUAAAGUAGGAGUCCCAUGCUCUGCUUGCCCUCCAAGCUACGGAGGUUCUUGUACCGACAAUCUUUGUUUUCCAGGAGUAACAUCAAACUACUUAUAUUGGUUUAAAUAAGUUAACGUUUACAUUAUUUUUAAAAAACUUGGAUGAGUAACAAGAAGCUUGUAUAUUUGAAUUUUGCACAUAUUUUUAUAUAGAGAGAUAUUGUAAUAAUACUCUGAUGUUUUCUUUUUGUAUGCUUUUGUAUAAUUAGCUUCCAAAGUAUAGUGUAAUUAGUUGUUAACUCUUUGGGAUUUAUGACUCACAGUAGCCCUUUUUAGAUUAACAUUCUGUAAAGGAGAGCAAACUCAUUUUCAUUUUAGCAAGAGUAGCUUCCUGAAAAUAAGGUUCUAUUAAAAGCACAUUAAAAGGUACUGUCAACUUAUACCUAAAACAUGCUGUCCUUUUAAAAAUAAUAGGUUUUGAAAGAGAAGGAUCAUUGUUUAAUACUGUGCUUUAAAAAUGGAGUGUCAAGCAAUAAUUCUUCCUCACACUGCCAAUGGUUCCUCCCAUUUAUACCUGUGCUUUCAUCUGCAAUGUCAGUGGGGACUGUGCAGAGGAAAAACAUAUCUGCAAGAGAAACUGCAAGAUAUUACCUACCUCAUGCACAACAUUAAUUCAUUUAUGGUGUUUCAAGAAUUCAGCACAUGGCUGCUGCUAUCAUCAACAAUGCCUGUGUGCAGACAGAAAAAUUAGACAGAAUAAGAAACCAUAUGGGCCAAGAUGCAGUGGUUGUCAAUCAUGUGCAUAAAACCUGAUGUUGAUAGAAAGCUACAUCACUUUGUAUGUAUAUCUGGUAUAAUCAACACAGCCAGACUCUGUAUUACUGUGUUUCUGAACACAGUCAUUGAGGUAUAAAUAUGCUUUGUCACAGUAUAUUUUUACUGUUCUGGAAGUACAGAAAUAUAUUGUUACAAAGCAGUGCAUAUCAGUACAUGAUAUACAUACUGCAUCUUUCAAACUAUUAUCUUACCAGUAUAUGUGCUGUUCCCCUGACUGAAUUUCAUCCACUUUACAUUUUCAAGAACAGGUUGGACCUAAAAGUGGGUAAGAGGAUUUCCAAGUAAAAUAUUAAAAAUUCAUCAGGCAACUUUAAAAAUUUAUUUCUUCAUACAGAUAAGCAGUGAAGAUUCCAAAUUUCUAAAGCAAUCGACAGUGUACUUUAAAAUAUAUGUGACUAUUUCCUGAAAGUAUCUGAAUUAUUAAAAGACAAAUUAUUUAUACCUUUUCUAUCAAAAUCUGAACUGAAUGCAUAGUAUGUACUCACAGAGAGAGUACAUUUCAAGAUAGAAUGUUGCACAAUUAGUUUUCUUCAAAAACAGAUUAUAAAAAGAAAGAAAUCCAGUGUCUACCACAACUAUUACACUACUGAAAUGGAGUUUUUUCUUUUUAUGAGAAUCAUUUUGAGGUGUUUGUAUGAGACAGUCUGUCAUGCAAUGAAGUACCAUGGUGGUGCUAUAUAAAAAGUUGGAAUUGUUCACAUUAGCUAUUCUUUUUCUGCAUCAAGACGUGUGGAGGGACUGAACUGUACAGCUUUGCUAAAUAUAACAGCCCC
rnacentral:lncRNA from 1 species